rnacentral:rRNA from 1 species
AUUGAACGCUGGCGGCAGGCCUAACACAUGCAAGUAGAACGAGUGGCGGACGGGUGAGUAAUGUCUGGGAAAAUGCCUGAUGGAGGGGGAUAACUACUGGAAACGGUAGCUAAUACAGCAUACCAUCAGAUGUGCCCAGAUGGGAUUAGCUUGUUGUUGGGGUAACGGCUCACCAAGGCGACGAUCCCUAGCUGGUCUGAGAGGAUGACCAGCCACACUGGAACGUGUACCCGGUCCAGACUCCUACGGGAGGCAGCAGUGGGGAAUUUUGCACAAUUGGCGCAAGCCUGAUCCAGCCAUGCCGCGUGUAUGGAGAAGGCCUUCGGGUUGUAAAGUACUUUCAGCGGGGAGGCGUUACCCGCAGAAGAAGCACCGGCUAACUCCGUGCCAGCAGCCGCGGUAAUAC